UACGUAGGGUGCAAGCGUUGUCCGGAAUUAUUGGGCGUAAAGAGCUCGUAGGCGGUUUGUCGCGUCGGCUGUGAAAUCCCGAGGCUCAACCUCGGGCCUGCAGUCGAUACGGGCAAACUAGAGUGCGGUAGGGGAGAUUGGAAUUCCUGGUGUAGCGGUGGAAUGCGCAGAUAUCAGGAGGAACACCGAUGGCGAAGGCAGAUCUCUGGGCCGUAACUGACGCUGAGGAGCGAAAGCAUGGGGAGCGAACAGG
rnacentral:rRNA from 1 species